ACCCUCCUGAUUCCUUACUCAUGAGACCUAAAACUGGUCUGAGUGGUUAUAAGUGAAAGAAAAGUAAAAUUGAAACUGACUUCAAUACUUUCAUGACACAAGCUGGUUUAAAUGGAGA
rnacentral:snoRNA from 1 species